AUUGAAAACUUCUUUCAAUGGGUUGGAAUAAUUUUAACUUAUCUCACCAGGGAUCAUCGACCAUCAAGAUAAUUCCUAUGAGUCUCACCAUCCACCAGUGACACCUAGCAGCAUGUAGUGGCAACACAGCAGAAUGAAAUGAAUGAACCUCUAAGUGUAGUUAUCGUAUGAUACAGUCCUUCUAUCGUGGAUCCCUACAAGACAGAGGUCAUGGAUAACUCUUUAAACCCAUUCGUCUGUCAUAUGUCAAAAUUGAUUCGACUUUAGUUCGAGAGUGGAAAACUCCUUUUCCACUUUACAUACUGCCCUGGCCAAGAUCUUACGAACUCAGUCAUAUAAAUCACAUAGAAUCAUUCCUUAUCUACCAAGGUCGAUAGAUUCCAUAUAGGUGCAUACCCUACUCCUACAGUGAACCUACUACAGCCAAUCAACAUCACAAGAACCCAUAUGGCUAGAGACAAUGUAUAUGUGCAGUCAAAC
rnacentral:lncRNA from 1 species